rnacentral:lncRNA from 1 species
AAGCCGAGACCUCCAAGAGUGAAGCAGCUGACAAGCGAUAACUUCACAAAACGACUAAUUUGAAUUUCACCACAACACUGCCAUCGUUUACCCACCGGCGACACCUGCUCUCCAAAACCCGUCGGAAAAUCGUCACACUAAACGUCGACCACCUCACACUCGCCGGAAAAAUCGAUCCCACCACCGCCUCAAAUAACUCCAUCGACCAGCAUCCAAAAAUACACAACCUCUCGUCUUUAAGUUCUAUUUCUUGCAAAGCUUUGGUGGAAUUCGAAGAGAUGUCGUCGCGAUUGAGUCCGAGAUUCCUGGUUCGUGUUCGUUCCCUUCGCCAUCGAGUUUUUCGGUCCAAGUUUGCAUUCGUAUGUCGCUACUGUAACAGGAAAGACUAUCAAUAUUUGAGGUUAAUUUCUUAAUCUAAUUUUAAAUUUCCUCAUCGUUUCAUCGUUAUUAGGCUUCAACAAUUGUGAUUGUUCUGCUUGUUUUGUUAUUUGUUUUUUUAGGUUGGUUCAUUUAUUUUAAAGUUUUCACUAAUGUCGUUGAUACAGUAUUUGGCAACAAACACAAAUUUGUUAGUUUAUUCUAUUUACUUAGAUUUAUGACAAACACAAGCUAAACACAAGCUAAAUAGGAAUUUGCUAUCAUGGGAUUACUAGAAGAAACAUUCUGUUUUGGUAAGUAUUUUGGACGUAACAACAAUUUGAGCUGUAAAAGAUUUCAAUUAUUUAUUUUGCGUUACUUAUUUAUUGGUUAGUAGUAUGUUUAGGCCGACAACAUCUGGCUAGGCAAACUUUAAUUUUUUUUUUUUUAGUUUUU